rnacentral:lncRNA from 1 species
GAGAUCUCGUCAAGAUGGCGCUGUGAGCAGAUGCUGAACUCGCCUCCUCCCACGAACACAGCCAGGUUACAACAAUUUCGGGAAGAAUCACCCUAGAUUGAAAACUGAAAACUGGAUAAAAAGAACCCCCACGACAAGGGACAGUCCUGACGAAGGCAGAAGAGGCAGUAACUCCGGCCGGAGAGGAAAAAAGCCACCUUUGGGAGCAGCGGAGCUUCUCAGCUGGCCAGGUGGGAGGGACCAUAAGGUAUCAUCAAACUUCUGUUUCCAACAAUAACGCCUUUCCUGGAGAAGAGUUUUGUGCAUUUUGAUGGAGACAAGGAAUAAAGUGC